AAGGGAAAACAUAUGGGCUGGCGUCACAUCGGGCAUCUUGGUGUGGCGCGAGAAAAUAGGAUGCUGGUUGGAUUCAUAGCGUGUCGCUGCGCGAUGUAUUUGACGAGACUCAAAUCAGACGACUACACAUGUAGAACUGUACGAAAAUGGCUUGUGGACGCGGGUUCAAUUCCCGCCAGCUCCACCA
rnacentral:tmRNA from 1 species